GUGCUGACUUUAGUAGCAUGUAUACGAAAAUUAGGACAAUACAGAGAAGACUAAUUAGCAUGGUCACUGUGCAAAGGUAACAUGCAGAUUCAUGAAUGCUUCCAUAUUUUU